CACGUAGGCACCAAGCGUUGUCCGGAUUUAUUGGGCGUAAAGAGCUCGUAGGCGGUUCGGUAAGUCGGGUGUGAAAACUCUGGGCUCAACCCAGAGCCGCCACCCGAUACUGCUGUGACUCGAGUGCGGUAGGGGAGCGGGGAAUUCUGGUGUAGCGGUGAAAUGCGCAGAUAUCAGGAGGAACACCAGUGGCGAAGGCGCCGCUCUGGGCCGUGACUGACGCUGAGGAGCGAAAGCGUGGGUAGCAAACAGG
rnacentral:rRNA from 1 species